GUACAAACAUCACCCACCAUGUUCUCUACAUCUCUACUGCUCCUGCUGGCAGCUGCUUCCUAUGUGCAUGGUGAGGAACUGACUCAGCCUGCUUCCAUGACAGUCCAGCCAGGCCAGAGUCUCUCCAUCAACUGCAAGGUUUCAUAUUCAGUUACGAGCUAUUACACACACUGGAUUCGACAACCUGCAGGAAAAGCUCUGGAGUGGAUUGGACGUGUUUAUAGUGGGGGUACAGAUUACAAUGACAAACUGAAAAAUAAAUUCAGCUUCUCCAGUGACACGUCUACUAACACAAUAACAAUUCGAGGACAGAACAUGCAGACUGAAGACACAGCUGUGUAUUACUGCGCUAGUCAACCACAGUGA